CAGAUCACCUAGUAUGACCACACUCCGAGUAAUCAUAGAAUCUAGGUACGACAGAUCACCUAGUAUGACCACACUCCGAGUAAUCAUAGAAUCUAGGUACGACAGAUCACCUAGUAUGACCACACUCUGAGUAAUCAAAGAACCUAGGUACGACAGAUCACCUAGUAUGACCACACUCUGAGUAAUCAAAGAACCUAGGUACGACAGGCGUCUUUGUAGCUUCUUCACUGGCCACUCCCCCUACUCAAAUUACUCACACAUUGAACACAGAACAGAUGCCAAGUCAUUCCCUCGUCAAGCGAAGAUCUCUUCAACAGAUAAACAGAGGACCCUAUGGUCUGUUAAUUACUCAUUUACCUAGGUCACAGCCUACUAAAUGAAACCACCAUAGAAAUGAAUAUUAACACAAAAACUGCCAAAGUCAUAUAAAAUGAUAAUAACAUCAAAACAUCACAUAUUGCUUCUCAAUUCAAAAUUUCUAUCACAGGUCCAAAUCCAGUUCCACCAAACACUGCCCAACUGUCUUAUGUCAACAAUACAUAGGUUUCACCCACAGGGCGGGCUGUCUCCCCCACCUUAAAUCUAUGUUGUCACUAUUCUAUUACAGUUUACAGCCGUUCCAAUCUAUUUAGGCAACAGAAGCAGAAAGACAUUGAAUAUUCAGGAAGACAAGUUUAAGUGUUUGGUAGGACUGUGUUCUAAUGCAUUAACAAUGAGCAACAAACUAAGGUAAUGGAGAUAUUUCAGAUGGUAUACUGUGCAGUUACAACUAAUCUUCUCAAGGAGAAUUUACUGACAGGUACAGGACACUUGAAAGCAGUUCAGCCAGAGGUGUUUCUAGGACCACAAUACACUGUCAUAAUGCGCCACCGGAAUUACAGAUGUAUAGAUAAGGGGCUAUUUUUGAGAUCUGGGAAAAUUCAUAAAAGAACUGGCGUUAUAGCCCUGGACGCCCAUGCCUAACGACGCCACUGGGUUCAGCGAUAAAGGCUGAUUAGAGCAGAGAGACUGAAUUUGGCUUAGAGAACAUGGCCACUGCAAGAGGAUUCUACUCUUGGGUUACAGCGAGUCUCCAGUAAUGCUUGGUUCCUGACAGCUGGACUAAUUCUUGAGAUAAAGAGGGCUACCUCCAAGGAAAGCUCUGGUUCUGAACAACAUUUACUGAGGUGUAAGGCCUACUGCUUGACAUCAUGCCACGCUGGUUGGGUCCCUAUCUAGUUCGACCCAUAACGCAGUCUGCUGUCAAAGUAAGCUAAGAGAGAAACCUGGUGAUGAUUAUGGAAGUACAUCUUACUGAAACCAUAAGGAGACUUUUUAGUGAAUCAAACCAUUGUUAUAUGAGGACCCAGAGAGGGGGAUCUGGUCUCUGUUUAUGUUUAUCAUUGAGUGGUAUCAGUAGAUCAGUUUUCCGUCAGUCUCUUCAUCUGUUUAAACUAUCAGUUUAUCUGUUCUUUGUCCAGAUGGUUAAUGGGCCUUCUGUCUGCAGUGUCUUUAGCCCCUUGGGGGAAGGAGGGGCAAUUUGCUCAUUUGGGUAAACACUGAAGACAGGAUAGAGAAAGACACAACCGGGGGCGGGAAGGGAUAAUGAACAUGACAUUGUCUAACAGGAUGAAUGUGCCGAUUCCUACCCCCCCCCCCCCCCCUUCACUAUAAAAGUACUGAAGAUUAUGCAUCUACCAUCACAGUCUGGAAUUGGACUCUUGUUGUUCUGGCCUCGGUCUUGUGGUGUCAUUUUCAAAAGUCAAUACAGUUUACAAAAAUUGACAGGUAAGACAGAGGAAAACUCUACUGCACAAUCAACAGAUUUACUACUUUCUAGGAGAGAGUACACAGUCACAAACGUAAACAUGGAGAGACUCUCACGUAACACAGAACAAUCUUCAGUACUUUUACAGUGAGGGGGGGGGUAGGAAUCUGCACAUGACCACCAGUCGUACAGGAUAAUUGUGUUCAUGUUACGGAAGAAUGGUACACUGAUCAGCCAUAACAUUAUGACCACUGACAGGUGAAGUGAAUUAC
ensembl:lncRNA